rnacentral:tRNA from 1 species
GCCGGAGUGGCGGAAUUGGCAGACGCCCGGGACUUAAAAUCCCGUGCCAUUUUAUGGCGUACCGGUUCGACCCCGGUCUCCGGCACCA